rnacentral:rRNA from 1 species
AUGUGUGCCAGAAAGCAUGAAGGGGGAAUGGGGUUCAGAGAUCUAGAGGCUUUCAACCAAGCUAUGCUUGCCAAACAAGCGUGGCGACUGUUCCAGGAACCAGAUUCAUUAUGUGCACGAGUCUUGAAAGCCCGGUAUUAUGUUGAUGGAUCUAUUUUGAAUGCAACUUGUCCAAGUGGUGGCUCAUAUACUUUCAAGAGUAUUUUGCAUGGG